UACGUAGGGGGCAAGCGUUGUCCGGAUUUAUUGGGCGUAAAGCGCGUGUAGGCGGUCCGGUAAGUCCGCUGUGAAAGUCGGGGGCUCAACCCUCGAAUGCCGGUGGAUACUGUCGGGCUAGAGUGCGGAAGAGGCGAGUGGAAUUCCUGGUGUAGCGGUGAAAUGCGUAGAGAUCCGGAGGAACACCGAAGGCGAAGGCAGUGUCCUGGGGAGUACCUGACGCUCAGGUGCGAAAGCCAGGGGAGCGAACGGGG
rnacentral:rRNA from 1 species